rnacentral:rRNA from 1 species
UACGUAGGGGCUAGCGUUAUCCGGAAUUACUGGGCGUAAAGGGUGCGUAGGUGGUUUCUUAAGUCAGAGGUGAAAGGCUACGGCUCAACCGUAGUAAGCCUUUGAAACUGGGAAACUUGAGUGCAGGAGAGGAGAGUGGAAUUCCUAGUGUAGCGGUGAAAUGCUUAGAUAUUAGGAGGAACACCAGUUGCGAAGGCGGCUCUCUGGGCUGUAACUGACACUGAGGCACGAAAGCGUGGGGAGCAAACAGGAUUAGAUACCCCUGUAGUCCCUGAGCGGG